rnacentral:rRNA from 1 species
AGAGUUUGAUCAUGGCUCAGAUUGAACGCUGGCGGCAGGCCUAACACAUGCAAGUCGAGCGGUAGCACAGAGAGCUUGCUCUCGGGUGACGAGCGGCGGACGGGUGAGUAAUGUCUGGGAAACUGCCUGAUGGAGGGGGAUAACUACUGGAAACGGUAGCUAAUACCGCAUAACGUCGCAAGACCAAAGUGGGGGACCUUCGGGCCUCAUGCCAUCAGAUGUGCCCAGAUGGGAUUAGCUAGUAGGUGGGGUAACGGCUCACCUAGGCGACGAUCCCUAGCUGGUCUGAGAGGAUGACCAGCCACACUGGAACUGAGACACGGUCCAGACUCCUACGGGAGGCAGCAGUGGGGAAUAUUGCACAAUGGGCGCAAGCCUGAUGCAGCCAUGCCGCGUGUGUGAAGAAGGCCUUCGGGUUGUAAAGCACUUUCAGCGGGGAGGAAGGCGAUAAGGUUAAUAACCUUAUCGAUUGACGUUACCCGCAGAAGAAGCACCGGCUAACUCCGUGCCAGCAGCCGCGGUAAUACGGAGGGUGCAAGCGUUAAUCGGAAUUACUGGGCGUAAAGCGCACGCAGGCGGUCUGUCAAGUCGGAUGUGAAAUCCCCGGGCUCAACCUGGGAACUGCAUUCGAAACUGGCAGGCUAGAGUCUUGUAGAGGGGGGUAGAAUUCCAGGUGUAGCGGUGAAAUGCGUAGAGAUCUGGAGGAAUACCGGUGGCGAAGGCGGCCCCCUGGACAAAGACUGACGCUCAGGUGCGAAAGCGUGGGGAGCAAACAGGAUUAGAUACCCUGGUAGUCCACGCCGUAAACGAUGUCGAUUUGGAGGUUGUGCCCUUGAGGCGUGGCUUCCGGAGCUAACGCGUUAAAUCGACCGCCUGGGGAGUACGGCCGCAAGGUUAAAACUCAAAUGAAUUGACGGGGGCCCGCACAAGCGGUGGAGCAUGUGGUUUAAUUCGAUGCAACGCGAAGAACCUUACCUGGUCUUGACAUCCACAGAACUUACCAGAGAUGCAUUGGUGCCUUCGGGAACUGUGAGACAGGUGCUGCAUGGCUGUCGUCAGCUCGUGUUGUGAAAUGUUGGGUUAAGUCCCGCAACGAGCGCAACCCUUAUCCUUUGUUGCCAGCGGUCCGGCCGGGAACUCAAAGGAGACUGCCAGUGAUAAACUGGAGGAAGGUGGGGAUGACGUCAAGUCAUCAUGGCCCUUACGACCAGGGCUACACACGUGCUACAAUGGCAUAUACAAAGAGAAGCGACCUCGCGAGAGCAAGCGGACCUCAUAAAGUAUGUCGUAGUCCGGAUUGGAGUCUGCAACUCGACUCCAUGAAGUCGGAAUCGCUAGUAAUCGUAGAUCAGAAUGCUACGGUGAAUACGUUCCCGGGCCUUGUACACACCGCCCGUCACACCAUGGGAGUGGGUUGCAAAAGAAGUAGGUAGCUUAACCUUCGGGAGGGCGCUUACCACUUUGUGAUUCAUGACUGGGGUGAAGUCGUAACAAGGUAACCGUAGGGGAACCUGCGGUUGGAUCACCU